rnacentral:rRNA from 1 species
CCCUUCGAUGUUCUGGGCUGCACGCGCGCUACACUGAUAAAGUCAACGAGUUUACAACCUUUUCUGAAAGGAAUGGGUAAUCUUUUGAAACUUUAUCGUGAUGGGGAUAGAAGAUUGCAAUUAUUUUUCUUGAACGAGGAAUGCCUAGUAAUAGUGGUUCAUCAGACCGCUGUGAUUACGUCCCUGCCCUUUGUACACACCGCCCGUCGCUCCUACCGAUUGAGUGGUCCGGUGAGGCUUUGGGAUCUGAGCGGAAAGAGCGUUUCGCUGUUUCUGCUCGGAAAACUCAGUCGAACCUUAUCAUUUAGAGGAAGGAGAAGUCGUAACA